rnacentral:rRNA from 1 species
UACGUAGGCAGCAAGCGUUGUUCGGAGUUACUGGGCGUAAAGAGUGCGUAGGCGGUCCUGUAAGUUUGGUGUGAAAUCUCCCGGCUCAACUGGGAGGGUGCGCCGAAGACUGCAGGGCUUGAGUAUGGGAGAGGUAAGCGGAAUUCCUGGUGUAGCAGUGAAAUGCGUAGAUAUCUGGAGGAACACCGGUGGCGAAGGCGGCAUCCUGGACCGAUACUGACACUGAGGAGCGAAAGCCAGGGGAGCAAACGGG